rnacentral:rRNA from 1 species
GAUGAACGCUGACAGAAUGCUUAACACAUGCAAGUCUACUUGAACUUCGGUUUGGGUGGCGGACGGGUGAGUAACGCGUAAAGAACUUGCCUCACAGUUAGGGACAACAUUUGGAAACGAAUGCUAAUACCUGAUAUUAUGAUUUUAGGGCAUCCUAGGAUUAUGAAAGCUAUAUGUGCUGUGAGAGAGCUUUGCGUCCCAUUAGCUAGUUGGAGAGGUAACGGCUCACCAAGGCGAUGAUGGGUAGCCGGCCUGAGAGGGUGAACGGCCACAAGGGGACUGAGACACGGCCCUUACUCCUACGGGAGGCAGCAGUGGGGAAUAUUGGACAAGGGACCAAAAGUCUGAUCCAGCAAUUCUGUGUGCACGAUGACGUUUUUCGGAAUGUAAAGUGCUUUCAGUUGGGAAGAAAAAAAUGACGGUACCAACAGAAGAAGUGACGGCUAAAUACGUG